rnacentral:rRNA from 1 species
UACGAAGGGGGCUAGCGUUGCUCGGAAUCACUGGGCGUAAAGGGCGCGUAGGCGGCCAUUCAAGUCGGGGGUGAAAGCCUGUGGCUCAACCACAGAAUUGCCUUCGAUACUGUUUGGCUUGAGACCGGAAGAGGUGAGUGGAACUGCGAGUGUAGAGGUGAAAUUCGUAGAUAUUCGCAAGAACACCAGUGGCGAAGGCGGCUCACUGGUCCGGUUCUGACGCUGAGGCGCGAAAAGCGUGGGGGAGCAAACAGG